UACGGAGGGUGCAAGCGUUGUCCGGAAUCACUGGGCGUAAAGGGCGCGUAGGCGGCUCGGUAAGUAGGGGGUGAAAUCCUGCGGCUUAACCGCAGGGCUGCCUUCUAAACUGUCGAGCUCGAGCACGGUAGAGGCAGAUGGAAUUCCCGGUGUAGCGGUGGAAUGCGUAGAGAUCGGGAAGAACAUCAGUGGCGAAGGCGGUCUGCUGGGCCGUUGCUGACGCUGGAGCGCGACAGCGUGGGGAGCAAACAGG
rnacentral:rRNA from 1 species